rnacentral:lncRNA from 1 species
CUAAAAUCACCAAAUUAAAUUCUCCAAGGCAAAGACUAACCAUGAUAUUGUCAUGAUUGACCAUGAUUAAUAUCGUGGUCAUAACAACUACCAAGGUCGACUGCUAUAGUAAUCGGCUAACCACCAAAAAUCACCAUGGCUGACCAUGAUAUAAACAGGGUCUUUUAUAGCCACAAGUAUUCUUUGAUGUCGACUUCACCUCUAACCAUCACAAGGCCACGAAAUUUGCAAAAGUUGAUGUGAUCAUCAACUAAAUCACAAUGUCCAUGAAGAUAAUAGGUCUGGCUAACAAGUUUCCAAAUAUAGAAGUCCACUCACACAGCUUCGAGAGUAAUGCCCAAAAUAUUAAAUGUCAAGCUAGCUGAACUCAUCCCCAUCAGUUAGCAAACCUAUUUUUCUGGCAGCGUCGUCCACCCAUGUGGUUCUGUGCAGUGUUAGUACAAGUGACUAGAUUCCUUCCUUCUGCCAAUUAAAAGGUAAAUCUUUCAUGUCCAGAGAACACAAAUAUCUUUGUUUUUAGUUGUUGUUUCAAAAUCUAAACGAUUUUAUUGUCACUACGAUGUUCCUAUCUACCUAUAAGAUACCUGCAUACUCGAAUGCAGA